UACGUAGGGGGCAAGCGUUAUCCGGAUUUACUGGGUAUAAAGGGAGCGUAGACGGCAGCACAAGUCUGAAGUGAAAUGCCGGGGCUUAACCCCGGAACUGCUUUGGAAACUGUGCAGCUAGAGUGCAGGAGAGGUAAGUGUAAUUCCUAGUGUAGCGGUGAAAUGCGUAGAUAUUAGGAGGAACACCAGUGGCGAAGGCGGCUUACUGGACUGUAACUGACGUUGAGGCUCGAAAGCGUGGGGAGCAAACAGG
rnacentral:rRNA from 1 species